AUACUCCUGACUGACCGAUAGUGAACCAGUACCGUGAGGGAAAGGCGAAAAGAACCCCGGCGAGGGGAGUGAAAAAGAACCUGAAACCGUGUACGUACAAGCAGUGGGAGCCCCACCACUAAGCCAGUGGUGAACUCCACAUCCGCAUCCUUUGCUGAGGAUACGGUUAACGGAGCGAAAGCGACGUUCAACCGCAAAACAAGCAGAGGGGGCUUAGUGGUGGGGUGACUGCGUACCUUUUGUAUAAUGGGUCAGCGACUUAUAUUCUGUAGCAAGGUUAACCGAAUAGGGGAGCCGGAGGGAAACCGAGUCUUAAUUGGGCGUUAAGUUGCAGGGUAUAGACCCGAAACCCGGUGAUCUAGCCAUGGGCAGGUUGAAGGUUGGGUAACACUAACUGGAGGACCGAACCGACUAAUGUUGAAAAAUUAGCGGAUGACCUGUGGCUGGGGGUGAAAGGCCAAUCAAACCGGGAGAUAGCUGGUUCUCCCCGAAAGCUAUUUAGGUAGCGCCUCGUGAAUUCAUCUCCGGGGGUAGAGCACUGUUUCGGCUAGGGGGCCAUCCCGGCUUACCAACCCGAUGCAAACUGCGAAUACCGGAGAAUGUUAUCACGGGAGACACACGGCGGGUGCUAACGUCCGUCGUGAAGAGGGAAACAACCCAGACCGCCAGCUAAGGUCCCAAAGUCAUGGUUAAGUGGGAAACGAUGUGGGAAGGCCCAGACAGCCAGGAUGUUGGCUUAGAAGCAGCCAUCAUUUAAAGAAAGCGUAAUAGCUCACUGGUCGAGUCGGCCUGCGCGGAAGAUGUAACGGGGCUAAACCAU
rnacentral:rRNA from 1 species